rnacentral:misc_RNA from 1 species
AAGUCGUAACAAGGUUUCCGUAGGUGAACCUGCGGAAGGAUCAUUAGAAGUGCUUCUCAAAGGCGGGGCGCCCACGCAUAGCAUAGCACCUCCCUCUCCCAGCGAGACCCGCUGCCCGCUUGUUACGGUCAAAAUGUUGACUCCUCAACUGGGUCCUGCCCCAACCCCCAUCCCGACCGAGCUAAGUCACGCUGCAACAGCCUGUGGAACUGGCAGAGAGAGAGGAGGGACCUAUGCUGGGGGCGUCCGACUUUGACAUUGGAGAACAAAACCCCCGUGCACCUUCCCCAACCUUGCUUCCCGCGCUUCCGGGCGCGGGGAGGGAACCUUCCAACCCUUCCGAAACAGAAGUCUGACACGAGGAAAGAUAGAAAAGUUAAAACUUUCAACAACGGAUCUCUUGGUUCUC